rnacentral:rRNA from 1 species
AGUGAACGCUGGCGGUAGGCCUAACACAUGCAAGUCGAACGGCAGCACAGUAAGAGCUUGCUCUUACGGGUGGCGAGUGGCGGACGGGUGAGGAAUACAUCGGAAUCUACUUUUUCGUGGGGGAUAACGUAGGGAAACUUACGCUAAUACCGCAUACGACCUACGGGUGAAAGCAGGGGACCUUCGGCCCUCGGGCGAUUGAAGGAGCCGAUGUCGGAUUAGCUAGUUGGCGGGGUAAAGGCCCACCAAGGCGACGAUCCGUAGCUGGUCUGAGAGGAUGAUCAGCCACACUGGAACUGAGACACGGUCCAGACUCCUACGGGAGGCAGCAGUGGGGAAUAUUGGACAAUGGGCGCAAGCCUGAUCCAGCCAUACCGCGUGGGCGAAGAAGGCCUUCGGGUUGUAAAGCCCUUUUGUUGGGAAAGAAAAGCAGCAGGUUAAUACCCCGCUGUUCUGACGGUACCCAAAGAAUAAGCACCGGCUAACUUCGUG